rnacentral:tRNA from 1 species
CAGUCUGUAGUGUGGUGGUUCUGCACGUCGGUUUGUGAAGCCGAAAGUGGUGGGUUCGAUUCCCCCCGGAUUGC